rnacentral:rRNA from 1 species
UUAGUCGGUCUCGGAGCAAACGAAGUGAAGCAUGUUAUUUAAUACGACAAUACGCGUAAAACCUUACCAGAUCUUGCAUAUCUAGUUCUUUAUUCCUAUAUAGGAAAAAAGAAUGAGUAUAUUUUUAAUUAAUUUGAAAAAUAAUACGCAGAUACAGGUGUUGCAUGGCUGUCGUCA